GCUUGGUCCUUCAAUAGGUACACAAAGGGAGAACUUUGUGAGGAGUAUCUGGCUAGGAAGACCUAGAAUGCACUCAGUACAGUGCACGGUACUGUGCCACAUCAUGGAAAAAAACCAAAACAAAACAUUUGUCUUUAUUUCAACUUUAGCCAAGCCUCUGGUAUUUACUGCUGGAAAGCUGAUGAUAUGGAUGUUCAGUGCUAAUAACUCUGAGGCCACAGUGAAGAAAUUGAAAAAGGCUGGUGGGUGGACAGUCAAAUGCUCAGCUCCGUAG
rnacentral:lncRNA from 1 species